AAGCUUCAGAUAGUAGUAUUGGUCUUGAUCGGUUCAGGUUGAAUGGCCUUUUGCACAAGCUCGGUUUGUUCCUUCACAUGCACAGAAUAGAAGCCAGUAGCAGUGGAAGCAGAUGGAGCACGGCCAAUGUAUCUGAUAUCAUCAAAGGUUCCUCUGCCCAAAGCAGUCAUUGCAGUGGCAAGACGAGGUGCAAUGUAGUUGUAUGCACCCAUGUUCAUCGGUUCUUCCUGGCACCAAACAAUCUCUGCGUCUGACAGUAACCAACAGAAAAUAUCAGGAAAAACAAAAACGCAUGAAAAGAAAUAAAGGAUCACAAUUCAUUAAAAAUUACUAAACCUAACAGUAUAUAUAGCUAGGACAUCAAGUUUCUUUAAACAAAAGAGGAGAGAUGGGAGACAUAGGAGGAUCCAAACCGAAUAUACGACUUCAACAAACUGAGCAAAAUUUGUUCAGAAGCAAUUAAACCCUGGUAAGUUCUCAAAAUGACAUAUAUGUUUCAAAUUGUGUCUUUAGGUUCACCGAGUAUUGUUAUAGAUCAAGAUUUAGUCUAAGCUUGGACAACAUACUUGGAUAUCGCUUAAGCUCCCGCUGGAUUAGGUCAUAAGGAAAUGGGCAAAGCUGUUCCACACGACAGAUAGCAACGUCGGUAGCAUUGUUCUUCUUUCGCUCAUCAUCAAGCUCAUAGUAGACCUGAAAGCAGAUGGAGCAUGAUUAUGGUCUUAAGAAACGACACAGAACCAUUAAACCUGCAGAGAACUACACUUAAAGCCCAACAAAACAACACACGUUCUGAAUCUUAGUUGCCUGCUUCACUCUAAAGGAUAAAAUUCCAGAAUUAAACGGCUUUUAUAUGUCAUACAAGGGGGAAAAAAGCGGAAACCAAGGGCAUAGCAUACCUUUCCGGAACAAAGUACCAACCGUCUGAUACCCUCCUCAAGGUCGGAGUGCAUAUUCUGAUCUUUUAUAAGUCGCUUAAAUCUGGUUCCUUGUUUAUCAAAACCAGGGUGGCCUUGGACAUCAUCAAAUUCAGAGAGAUUUGAUUUGCAGUCCUUGUGACGAAGUAAGUUUUUGGGGGACAUCACGAUAAGAGGCUUACGGAAUUCCCUGUGUAUCUGAAAUAGGAGAGAAGAAUGAUAAGGAAAUGGCAAGACUAGCCCCGAAGCUGAAACAUCAUUAAUAACCUUUAGUUGCUCUGACCUGACGCCGCAAAACAUGGAAGUAAUUAGCAGGUGUUGUAACGUUAACCACCUGCCAGUUGCACUCCUGAAUUUGUUUACGAAGAGUUGUAUCCAUCUCAGGUAUCACAAAAGGAUUGUCAUCACUCAUCUGCAAAAAUUUAUAAAGAUGUAGUCAUCGAUGCACCAUGAGUCCCCUUUUUUAUUUUUAUGUGAAAAUGACAUCCUAGGGAGCACAGCCUGAUUUUGAAUAAAGGAUGAUGAAGCUAAAUCAUGAUGCAAAGAACAAUGCAUGCUAUUUCAUGGGGAAUACCUGAAGAUAACGCUCUAGUCGUGCACUUGAAUGUUCUGGACCUUGUCCAUCAUAACCAUGGGGAAGCAGCACUACAAGACCAGUUUGACGCAGCCACUUUGCCUCCCCGCUACUUAUAAACUGAUCAAAUAUCACUUGAGCACCAUUAGCAAAGUCACCAAACUGAGCUUCCCACAUAACCAAUGAAUUUGGAUUCUCCAUCGAGUAACCCAAUUCGAAUCCAAGCACACCAAACUCAGAAAGAGAACUGCACUCAAAGACCACAUGUUGCUCAGAAAAACAAACCCAAAAUUAACAAAAAGAUCAAAAGUAAAAAUGCCACACAAAACUAAAAUGCACAAUCAAACAAUUCUCCAGCAGGGACAUAAAUUUGCAGGAGAAGCAAAGAUAUCGCCACAUAAAGAAGAGAACAGUAAGUUUGCAAGUGAAAGAUCAACUUAAAAUUCUGAACUUGUACACAUUGCAUACAGUGAACCACAUAGAAACCAAAUUCCAGGUAUAAGGUGCAGUCAAGUGGAAAAGUUCUCAAUAAGCUAAGCCAUAAUGCAGAGCACAAUUGAUAUUUAAUUUGGAAUAACUACAUAAAUAGAUUCCAAAUUAGCCUUAAUACCAAAUAGUUACACAAAUAAAGGAAUCUUUUUCUUCUUUUUUAUUUUACUAUUUUUCCUUGAAAACGUAAAAUAUAGAUGGCUUCUCUUCCUCUUAAAGGAUUUCCAAGACAAAUAGUCAAAUACAUCACCACAUCUUGUACAGUCACUAUCAGAGAACACGUAUUAUAUGGACUGAAAAAUUAGCUAUUACACAAAGUCCAAAGCAUUAAAAGGGUUACCUAUUGCUUACAGUAAACAUCUCCUCAUUUUGGUUGAUGAUAACAUGGUCCAGAGGGCAAUACUGUUCCCCUGUUUCCUGGUCGUGAAUCACAGAAUGCCGAUGACUGAAUGUACCCCUUUCAACAUCCUGACCACUCAACCUAACAUGGUUACCUUCCACCAGCAAGGUAGCAAAUGCAAGUGCUUCACCCAUAGCCCAGUCAAGGCCCUCCCCUGUCUCAAUCAUCUGCGCACGUUGUUCAUAAACCUUCUUCACCGCUCUAUGAGGCUUAAAAUUAUCUGGAAGGGUUGUGAUUGCUUUGCCAACAUUCUUCAAUAUCUCGGGUUUAACCCUGCAUAACAUGCAAGUUUCAUCAGCAAGUAUAAGUAAGAGAUACCAAAAUGAAAGUUGAAAUUGACAAAGAAGCCAAAAUACCCAGUGUUCCGAACACGUGAAAUUUGUUCAGGUGACUUGAAUCCCGUCCAGUAAGCAGAGAGCCAGUCCCGUCUUUUGGGAACAUAAUCUUUGCUGGCCAAGAAUUCGUCAUUAAGAAUUGUACUGACCUUCUGACUUAUAUUACCAAUGUCGUCAUCUGUCACCUGCCCAGACUCCAACAACUUGUUUCGGUAGAUCUGAAGUGCUGAGGGGUGAUUCCGAAUGAUCUGUUGAAAAAAAAAAAAAGGAAGAAUUUACAUAUGUCAAGUUCAAGUAAUUUCUCAGGAACAUAUUAAAAAACAAAAAAAAAGGGUAGGACCAACUAAGGCAUGCCUAAUGGGGAAAUAAAUAGCCAAAAAGGUAAAUAGGAUGCAGACCUUAUACAUCUUUGGCUGUGUAAAUGAUGGUUCGUCAAUCUCAUUAUGCCCAAAUCUACGGUAGCAGACCAAAUCAACCACCACAUCUGAAUGGAAGGUUUGGCGCCAUUCAGCUGCAAGUUCACAUGCAUGGACAACUGCCUCAACAUCAUCUCCAUUUACAUGGAAAAUGGGAGCAUUCAAAGCUUUGGCAACAUCAGUACAAUACUGUGAAGAUCUGCCUGCCCUUGGAUCAGUUGUAAAUGCCACUUGGUUGUUGACUACAAUAUGUAUAGUUCCACCAGUAGUGUAGUUUGGAAGUGCACUAAGAUGAAGAGUUUCAUAGACUACACCCUGUCCAGCAAAGCUUCCAUCUCCAUGAAUCAAAAUAGCCAUGUUCUUGGUCCUAUCCUCGUCAUUGGAGUAAUACUGCUUUGCUCUAGUUUUUCCAACAACAACUGGGUCCACAGCCUCCAAGUGACUGGGGUUGGCAACUAAAGACAAAUGAAUUCUCUUUCCACCUCUUGUUGGUCGAUCAUAGGAAGUUCCCAAGUGAUAUUUGACAUCACCAGUUCCUGUGUAAAGCCCAACUUCAUCCACAGGCCUUGUACCACCACUGAACUCACUAAAUAUUUGACGAAGUGGCUUUCUGACAACAUUACCUAGCACAUUCAAUCUUCCUCUGUGAGGCAUUCCAAUAACUAUGCUUUCAACCCCUAGAUCUGCAGCCCUAUCAAACAUCUCUUUCAUUCCAGGAAUUAAAGUUUCACCCCCUUCUAGCCCAAAUCUCUUGGCUGUUGUCCACUUGGUAGCCAAGAAAUUUUCAAACUGUGUACUCCAUAUAAGCCUAUCAAGAAUGACUUCGCGCCGCUGGCGAUUGUACUGCAUUGGUGUUGGAGUUUCAAUCUUGUCUCUCAACCAGUUGCACUUGUCACGCUCAGCAAUGUGCAUGUAUUCGAACCCAAUGCUUCCACAGUAAGCCUGCUCAAGCCGAGUCAAAAUCGACCUAAGUGUCUGCACGGGUCGGUUUUCUGAUAAAAAUCCAGCCAUCCUCCACACACCUAAAAAGAAUUCUCUAUCAAGAUCAGCUUCAGUAAAACCAUAAAAAGCUGGAUCCAAAUCAUCAGGGAUUUCCCUUUCCUCUAAACCCAGCGGAUCCAACUUCGCUUUCAUGUGACCAUUAACCUGGUAAGCCCUCACAAGCAAUAACAAUCGCAUACUCUCCUGAAUGGUCUGGCCUGAAAUUCCUGGAGAUGUGGCAGCCUGACCAACAAAAUUCCUGAAGAAAUUGUCCCACGACUCAUCAACACUAUCUGGGUCAGCUUCCCAGGCCCUUUGAAGCUCCUCUAAGUAUACACUACUGGUUCCAUCUAAGAAACUAUCAGUUAGCUUAGAAAGUGGAACAGGGCGAGGAACGGGAGCAGUCUGUGCCUUUGAUUUAAAGACAGUGGUGUGAAAAUAUCGACUCUGUGAAGGAACAAUGCGUGAUCUUGCAGCAUAUGAUCCACCCUGAGACAAAGUCCUCCUAAUGGCAAGCUUUGCCACACUUGACCCAGCUCUAAGCCACCCCAUAUCUAUCAAUCAAAAAUAUUUAUGAGCCAACAAUUCUCAAAGAUUGUAUCGUACCUCCACACUCAGAACUCUAUCAACACUCGCUACACUCUUACUUCACCAAUUAGAAACCUAUUUAACAUAUAUAUUUAAAGAAAAAAAAAAAAAGGUUGCAUAUAUGAAAAUUCAACAACAUUAAUAGCUCAAAUACAAGAAAAUGAAUAAAAGUGUUGAAUUUAUAAUCUGAUUUCAGUAAUAUUCUUAAUCUAAUAUCCAUAAAAGUGAAAGCUCUGAUAGUUCAAGUUCACCAAAAUACUUAAAAACUUUGAAUUAAUGCUCAAAUAAAAUUAGCCUAGAACAAGGUUAUAAAAAAUUUCUAAACAACAUAAUUGAUCAAAUGCUAAUAACUGAAUAAUAAAAAACCAAUUAAAUUCAACCGUCUUAACAUUAACAAUUAAAGUAACCAAUGUACAAUCUUAAUCAAAAUCAGAACUUCUUAAGCGUAACAACAACAGAAAUUAAGUCCAAAAGCAUAAAUUCUCCUCACUUCCUUAAAACAGAUCAAAUCGAUAUUUCUUGGAAACAAAAUUUAAAGCUUGAAAAAAAGCCAAGCUGUUGACCUGUUAUAGCAUAUUCAUCCACACGGAAACCAACAAAAUUAUUAAAAGAAAUCAAAAUCAAAGUCAAAAACGAAUGCAAGCAGAAUAAAAUAAUAAUGUAAUAAUGAUAACAGGAAGGAAACAGAUUUUCCAGAGAAACUGAAGAGUUAAUCAGAUUUUAGAGAAGUCAGAUGAAAAUUGAAGAAAAAAACUGAAGUUAAAGGACUGUUUGGGGAGGAGGAAAAAUAAAAGGUUACCUGGAAAAUAUGAGAGUAAAUUAAAAACCCUAUAAGUGAAGUUGACGUUGGCUGUGUUGGCUUAAGACUUUUUAUUUUUUAAGUUAGGACCAAAAUAUUGGUCUUGAACUCUCUUUUUUUCGGCCGAAAGAAAAGCCUCUCUUCCGUUUUGUUCUUCGCUUUUUCUCGUAAUUUCUUCAAAUAGUGAAAGGCUAAACUAUUCCAAAUUUAUAUUUUGGUCCUUCAAUUUUAAAAAAAUAUAAAAUAGUCUUUAAAUCAUUUUAAAAUUUUUAUUUAAGUCGUUAAACUAUUAGAAAAGUUUUUAAUAACUCAGUAGUUAAGUUUUCUUUUUCAAAUGUCCAACUAACAAGCUUCAAGUAUCAAUUUAAUCAUAGAUCAACACUCAUCGAUGAAUAAAAUAACAUAUAUUAUAUCCAAGUUGGUCUAGUAGUUAAUGUUGGAGAUUGGAGAAGAAAUUUAUUUAGAUUUUGGUAUACAAAUUUGUGACGUUUUAGCUAUUUCAUGACAAAAAAUUAAACUUUAAAAGUUAGUGGGAAUGAUUGAUUUCGAUUGGAGUAGGCAAUGUGAACAAAAAGGGCACAUACAUUUGUGAUUUUAACAAUCUAGUGACUUAAAUAGAAACUUUCAAACAGUUCAAUGCUUAUUUAUAACUUUUUGAAGUUGAAUGACUAAAACGUAAAUUUACUAAUAAUUUAAUAAAUUUAAGUAUAAUUUAUCCAGAAUGAAGUCCCUAAAUUUCAAUUUUUCCUUUUUUUCUUAAAUUUAGACAACAGCAAAUUUUUAAAAAUUUUGGAUAUAAAAAAAUUUAAACAUUCGAGGCUACAUAGAGAGUUUAUUACUAUUUUUCUUUUGAAGUAAUAAAGAGUUAUUAUUAAAUAUAUGUAGAAAUUUUGUUUCUUACUUAAUAAAUUCAGACCAGGUUGAGAUAAGAUAUUUUUAAAUAUGUAGAACAUAGACCUGAUCCGAAAAAUGGGUUGAGAAUUUUACCUAAACUUAGGGUUCCUUUAGAUGGGCGAUAUAUUUACUAACAAUUAGUGUAAAAAAAAAAGCAGCGACGAUAAGAUUAGAUACUAUAACGAUAUUGUAGCGUGAGACAAAAAAAAAGCUAAACAUAUCGCACUGGAAGUAAACGUUCAUCCAAAGGGACCAUCUGCCCAAACAAUAUUAGUAUUUUUUGGGUUUAACCCGGCCCGCCUAGAUUUUCUUAGACUCGUUGAAUAAUUGUCUCAAGCCAUUAUCCGAUGUAUCAGGCACAGAUAUGUUGAAGGUUUUCCAAGAUUUUCACGUCUUAAGGGUGUUUCUUUUGGAGAAUCAUGCAUUGAACAUGAUUAUGGGCACAAAAGCUUUAAGAAAAAUGAAGACCGUAACAAAAGUGUUUCUGGGAAACACUUUUGAGAAGUAUUCCUAAACAUAGGUAAUUUCCUAAACAAAAUGUAGAGCAUGUUUUUAAUGGGUAACAACAAGAAGAGAAGUGGAGAAAUUAUAGAUCCGCUAAUUAUAGUUGAAUGCAAGACAUGAAGCAAAUAUGAUUGGAUUGAGAAAUUGAAAACAGAAGAAUGACACAAACUUUUUGGGGUUUUCUAUACAAAGGAAAGGAUGAAAUUUCAAUUUAAUGGACAGAUUUAGACUUUUUGUAAAUAUGGCUUUCGACUUUAACUUAGUGGGUCUUGACUUUAAUGGUUGUAGGGAAGAUAUGGAUCUGGCCUUAAUGGUUUUAUAAUUUUAUAUCAAUGUCAAUAAAUAUAUUAAAUAAAUGUAAAAUUGGGCCAACUAAGUCGGCCUCGGGCUAAAAAUAAUUUGUCCAAGACUCAAUCUAAAUAAAAAUGGAUUCAAAAUUUUAUCCAAACCUAUUUUUUGAAUUUAUUAUUUUUGUCUAAACCUUUUCAUAUUUCGGGCAGGUUUUAAGCCUGAACGGGUAGCUCGGUGUAUGAAUAAAUUUACUUAAUAUUUAUUUGGAAUGAAAAUUAAUGAUAAGAAAUACUUCAUUUUUAUAGGAUUUACUUAUUAUAUUUUAGUGAGAUUUUAAAUUUGAUUUACAUUUUUUUUAUAUACCAAAACAAUAAAAAGUAAGUAAAACAUGUAAUAGAUAAUUUUUCAUAUUGAUUACGAGAUUAAAAAUUUAUAUCAUUUUAUAAUGAAAUUUGUUGAUGUGUGGAUCAAACAAGGCAAAGAUGGUGGCGAGGAUAGGCAGUUCACCUCGUAUGGUGCAAGGCAGAGAGCCGCCACUCAAAGUGGAAGAACAAGAGAGAGAGAGAGAGAUCCUUUGCUCUAUGUGAGUAGAGAGAGAGAUCCUCUGCCCUAUGUGAGCCCCAGACUUUAUAUACUUGUAGCUUUAGUCCUGAGGUCCCACGUGUCGAGCUUCUACAGGAGUAAAAGGCAAGUGGCCAAGUGGUUUGCCACUAUAAGCCUGGGUAGGGUGACAAUUGGACAUACUUUCAAUUAUCUCAUGAAACGUAAUGGUUGAAGGCAUGGAUGGUGGUUAAUAAGUGCAACUCUCAUGAGUGUUAAGCUGAGGGGUGUGCCGAGGUGUUAGGGUAUAACAAUUUCCCUCCCCCAAACCAAGAGGGAGGUUAUAUAGUGGUCUGUCUCGAUAUGCUAUAGGCAUUUAGUGCUUUGAGGUAUUUUAAGGGAAAUAACAUGCAAUGGUCGAAAUUUGAAACGAUAGGGUUUCUGUGUUGGAUGCACGUGUAGUCCAUACUGCUUCAGGACAUGCACAUGCAUAAACGUGCAUUAAUGAUUGUGUGUUACAACACUUUAUCGAGAAAUGCUUCCAACUGUUAUUUGUCAUUAAAUGUUUGAAAUUACUAAAUGUAGCGUUCUUUUUGGAUUUUGAAAGAGAGUGUUCAAGAAGCUUCGUUAGACCAAAAAGUCUAUAAAUCUUUGGGUUUUGGAGACUAUUGUUCAUUACUAGAUUUGAAAAUUUUCUAAAGUUUUUAAAGUUUAGCCUUUCCAUUCUUGAGUUUGUACUUCACCGGCGUAGUUUAUAUCGAUGUGUAGUUCAUAUUUUUAGUAAGUUUGAUUCUUCUAUUGUAGGUUUGAGGGUUUAUUUUAGCAUACUAUUAGCAAAAAUGAUUAGAGGAAAUUGGGGUGGGGAGGCUGACAAUAGCAUGAGUGUUGAAGGUCGUUAAAAGGCGAAGUGGCGAGAUCGUAGAUGUAACACUCCUCACCCGGAGUUAACCAAUAUAUCACGAGCAAAGGAUGUCACAUUUGGACAUUAAAGCUACUCAACUCGAACAUCAAUUUUAAAACUUUGUUUUAACAUAAAUAGACUCUUUUGGAGUUAUUCAAGUCAUUUCUAACCUUUCUUUAAAGUUUGGUUACAAACAAGGACCAAGCGGGGCUUAUUCGGGUCAAAACAGGGUCAAUGUUGCGACACUGGAAUGUUGAUGUUGCAACAUCGAAAACAAAUUACUCUAAUUACAUGUCCAAUGUCGUGACACUAAUUUUUGAUGUUGUGACACUGAAGGCAGAAUACCUAAAACAUGUUUGAAACAUCAAAAACCAAGUCCAACUAUCAUCAAUCAUUCCAUAUCACUUUUAAACACUAUAAAACAUAAAUUUCCAUUAAAACAUCAUAUGAUUCCACAUAUAACUCAAUCAAAAUUUAACUAAUUUUGUAUGGUUAACAAAAUGAUCAAGAUUCUUCAAGUAUUUACACUAUAAAUCUUGUCCAUAUGCUUUGCAUCAAACUAUGUGCAUGCCAUAAUCUAUAACCAAAAGAUCAAAAUCAUACUCUCUUCUGAGCUUUGAGAUGUGAUGAGUUGAUAUGGUAUCUUCACUUUAGAGCUUUAACUCGAGUCCCUACCUACGCGUUAAGCUUACAAAAGCUUGGCAAAUACAUCAAGAAUUAAACUUACAAUUUAAAUCAACCAACAUUAUAUUCAAUGAAAUUAAAUAGAGAGUAACCAUAAUGAAAUCUUUAACUAAUAUUUUAUAGUUCAUUUACCAAUUCAUUUAUAUGACCACUUACCCUUUAAAUUAUAAACCAAAUUAUAGACUCAAUAAAACACAUAAGAUAUGUGCAUACACUGAGUCAUUUCCAUUCUUGAGUUUGUACUUCACUGACAUGGUUUAUAUCGAUGUGUAGUUCAUAUUCCUAGUGUUGACAACGUGAGCCUUUAGCCUAUGAUCAAUUAAAUCUCUAAUUAGUAAAUAAAUAGAUUAACUAAUUUCAAAAUUCGAGUUUUAAUAUGAAUUAGCUAUUAAUUAACUAGUAUUACCUCUCGGCCUCUACUAAUUGAUUAAUCGGCGGAUACUCAUUUAUCUCCCAACCUCGCUUUCUCCAACAGGAUAAAGUAUGAUUUACUCAGUUCGACUUAUCUCCCGAUUUCAUCUCCCCUAUGAUAACUUCCUAGGGUUGUCAAGCCUGGGGUUUAGGAACGUAUAUAUAUCAACUAAUCUGAUUAUGAACCCUUAUCCUUUUGUUAAUUAAUCGACUUGAUUAAUUAAUCAGUUCAAUAAUUGAAACAUGCAUGAUAUAAAUAAAGCACAAGAUUUAUUCUAAUAUUCAUACAAAUAUUAGUUGAUCAGGCUAACAAAAUAUAAAUAAAAUAAUAAAAUAGAAUAGUAGAGAGAAUGCUUGUGAAUAUAUAUAUUGAAGCGCGGAUCUGGAGCAAUCUCCGCUCGCUAUUGUCUUCACAUCGGAAUAGAAAAUUUCCGACUAAACAAAAAGAAAAGAAAACCAAAAAUUGUGUUUGAUGGAUGGAUGGUUUGAUUGAUUGAUGCCCUAAUUUGUAUAUAGAAGCCUUUUAUUUAUAGGCUAAAAUAUAUGCACUUUAUGCUCGAUAUGCCCCUAAUACUUUAGGUGCAAGUAAAGAAUAAAAUCUAUGAGAAUCUGCCAAAAUACAGUUGCCGACGUCAUCCUUGCUUGUGGCCCACAUUCAAGUGAUGGCUCAACACAGGGUGUGUGUCAUGCCAGAGACAUUGUGUGUCAUGCCACAACAGUCUUUUUAUGGCUGUGGACGUUUUUUUCGUGCUUUCACGGCUCGAGAAGCUUGUGCAUCAUUCGUUCCAAGUUCCUACGUCAAUUGGGUCUAAAAUUAAGCCUCUUGCACACUUAAAUACACAAAUUAACCCUACCUAAGGCCCUUGUCAGCCUAAUAGGUCAUCAACACUCAUAAAAUGUGUUAAAAACACAUAUUUUUAUUAACUUUUAAUCCUAACUACUAAAUACCGAAAAUGAAAUAAUAAAUACUAAAUUGGCUAGAAAACAAACCUCUUAAGUGUGAAAAUAGACUGAAAUAACUACUACAUUUAACGUCAUGUCAAUCAUGACAUGAAUUAAUAUCUUUGAAUGUGACCAUUGAAUUUGGUAUGUGAUGGAAUCAUAUAGAUACUUGGUUUGUUAGAUUAUGUUACAUAUGGAAAUAAUUGGAAAUACAUGAUUUGGUUUAUGGCUAUAGUGUGGUAUUUUGAUGAUAGAUAUUGGGAGGUUAUAGUUUAUUUAGUAAGCUUAUGUUUAUUGUGAAAUGAUAGGUUAUUAGGUUGGCAUUAUGGUCAACUUUAACAUGGUAGAAAUUGGUACUUAUAUUGCAUGCUAAGCACAAGUAUGACUUAAUUCUAGUUGAAUCUUGGGUAUUGGAUUAGAAUUUAAAGCAUGGUAUGUUAGGUAGUUUAAAUGCUAUGUGUUGGUACAAGUAUAAAAGAAUUGAUUGAAAGUGUUGUUUAUUGUUGAAUUGAGGUGCCAAUUGUGGCAUAUUGGUUAGGCACUUAGGGUAGUUUUAUAAGUUGUAUUUUGGGUAUAUUUUGAACAGGUUUAAUGAAUGGUUAAAGGCUUGUUUAUGGCAUGAGUAAGAAUUGAUUGUGUGACUUGAUUUAAAAGGCAUAUUUUGGCACAUAGGGGCUAACACACAGGCAAGUGACAUGGUCGUGUGCUCUGUAUUAUCAAGGUGGUUUUGGUUAAACAAAGUCACAGUCUCUCACAUGGCCUGGCAACACAGUCGUGUGAAUGUUUGUAAGAUUUUACAUUUAGGUCCACACGACCUCGUCACACGGCCUGGACACACGCUCGUGUGACCUUGUUUUACACUUUUGCUCAAUCUUUUCUGAAAUGUUCUAAAUGAGUUCCUGUUUGUUUUGAAAUUGAUUUUAGAGCUUUCGUAAGCUCGAAUUAAGUUCAAAUUUGUAUUGAAGACUUGAUUUGUUUGAUGAAUUGAUGAUUUAAGAUUGUUUUGAAUAUGUACUUGAAUUAAAUUACAUGUUCCGAUUCUGUUAUUUAUUAAGCAUCUCGUAACUUGAUUCCGGUGACGGAGACGAAUGAGAGUGUUACGCUCUUAUUUAAAAUAUUCAUGGGUAAAGAGAAUUUAUGAGAAAAUUUAUAACCAUAAAUGUUAAUGGAAAAUGUUGCUAAGUGUAAUAGAAAAAAUAGUUACAAUGAAAAAUUGGAAACGUACAUUAUAAUUAAAAUAAAGUUUGUAAUGCUAUAUAAAAGAAAGUAGUGUGAUUCACUCUCUCAUAUCAUUUAUACAAAAAUGUUUACCUAAUUAUUUAAAGUAGAUGAUUCUCAUUUAAUUUUCAACUCUUUAAUGUCAUAAAUACAUAAUAAUUUUUCCAUGUAAUCAAUUUUUAGGGUUUUUACUUCAAUAAUAUAAAAUAAAUAAAUAAAACAUUAAUAUUCACGAAACUAGGUAAAUUUUGCAGUAAAUAAUUAAUGAAAAAACCUCAAUUUUUACGUUUAAAAAGAUAGGAAAAAUCUUAAUGAAAAACGUUAAUUAAAUAUUUUAAAUAUAAGGAUUAGCUUAUUAAAUUCAUUCAAAUACCAAAGUUGUCCCUUUUAAUAAUUUUAAAUAAAGGUAAAUAGAAUUUUCUUUUACCCUAAUUUCUCCUCUUAGGAGCUGAUUUUAUAUAUUAUAAUGUUAUUAAAUUUCUAAUGUGUUCACACUAUAAAGAGAGAAUUCUUGGAGAAAAACUCAAGGAGAAUUCUGCACUUAAACAAAUCUGAAAUUUUGAAUAUAUUUGAGAAGUAUCUAAGGGUGGCUGGUCAAGCCAUAUAUAUAGGCCUUCUAAUUAUUUUCCUAACCCUAUUAGGAAAACUAAAAAAAAACAAAAAAAAAAACCUAAUUUGUUGACUUUUCAAGGGAAUUUCGUCCAAAGCCUUUAAAUGGGCCUCUUGGACUGAAUUUUACAUAGAAAUUUAUUUAUAAAGUCUAAAAAUUAAAAUUAAGUAUUUAAAGAAUUAAAUUGGGCCACUUUGACAAUUUGGCCUGAUUUUCAGCUAAGUCUAAUUUAAACUUCUAGAUUGGGCUUGGAACAUCUUAUUGGGUUUUGUCUUCAAGAACUUGGGCUUGUAAUCCGUUCUCUCCCGAAAUUGAUUCGUUGAUGCUCGUAACGGAGAUCCAAUGCGCUUUGGCUGCAAGAUUUGGUUUUUUGGACCAAGAUUUCCAAGAUUUGAAAUCUUGACUUUCUUGAUUCUUGAAAUCGCUCCAAACAGCAAGAUUAGGCCAAGAUUCGGUUUCUUGAUUUUCUUGAAAACAAGAAAGUGAAACUUGAUUUUCUCGUUCUUUUGUGUAUGCAUCUAAGGCCUUUGUGACUCGUAUCAUUUUUACUUCAAUAAUAUAAAAUAAAUAAAUAAAUACUAGAAUAAGAUAAUGACAUUAAUAUUCACGAAACUAGGUAAAUUUUACAGUAAAUAAUUAAUGAAAAAACCUCAAUUUUUAUGUUUAAAAAGAUAGGAAAAAUCUUAAUAAAAAAACGUUAAUUAAAUAUUUUAAAUAUAAGGAUUAACUUAUUAAAUUCAUUAAAAUACCAAAAUUGUCCCUUUUAAUAAUUUUAAAUAAAGGUAAAUAGAAUUUUCUUUUACCCUAAUUUCUCCUCUUAGGAGCUGAUUUUAUAUAUUAUAAUGUUAUUAAAUUUCUAGUGUGUUCACACUAUAAAGGGUUGACAUGUGAUAAGGAGAGAUCGUAAUCGCUUGUGGAGGGAAAAUUUGCAACAAAAACCCCUCUACUUUUUUAUAUAAUUCUUAAUGGUGUUCUGCAAUGUAUUUUUUCAUAAUAAGUCAUUCUAUUUUGCUUAAGAUAAAUUUUAAUUUUUUUUAAUAUUUUUAAGUUUAUCACUAUUUUUACCAAUUAAAUAUACUAUUAGAAUUGAAAUAAAUAUUUAAAAAUAUAAAUAAUGUUACAAUAAAUUAUUUAAUGAUCACAAUAUUUAGUUUUAAUUAUCAAUCUACAUUCACUAAUAUAUAAUUAAAAUUAAGUAUGAUACUAUGUAUAAAAAUAGACUUCACACAACCUACUAUUAUAGUAUUUAUAUUUUAGAAAUAAAAUCAAAAUAUUUUUAAAAAAAAUUUAUUGUAAUAUCAAUUAUAAUAUUUUAAAAUUAAAGUUAUAUAAUAUUAUAAAUUUUAUGUAAAAAAAUUAAUAUAUAUAUUCAAAAUGCAAUUUUCUUAGGUACUAUUUUUUCAUUCAAACAUUAAUCAUUAAUCUAUUUUUAUCUCUCUCUUGAACAAUUAUAAUAUGUAGUUACUUCUCUCUCUUUUUUUUCAUUUAUUAAUUUCUCAUGUCACAUGCAACAUUAUUUUAUUCAUUUAUUUCCAUAAUUAGUUUUUUAAUUAUCUUUUAAUUUAUUAUUCUAAUUGUUAAACAUAAUUAAAAUAUAUUAAUAAGUUUAACGAUUCAAAUAUAAUAAAAAUGUUUUCAAAUUAUAAUUAAAGCAUAUAUCCCAUAUUAGAAAAUUGUCAAACUCGUGUUUUUAUAUUUAUUAGUUUCUAAUGUCGUGUAUAUUACACGUGAUUUUUUAUAUUUAAGUUUGGUAAUUAUCAUUAAGCAGCGUUUGUGCAAUACAAUUUUUUUUUUUGGGGACAUAUCAUAAAUUAAUAGUCCUUGCUUUUCCAUUCCCAUUUUUUCUUAUUUUCUUAAUCAAUAAAUUCUCCAUAUAGUUUGUAGAUAAUAAUAAUAAUUACUACAAAUACAAUAUUAAUUAUGAUAAAUAUUUUUAUAUGUUACUAUAUAAAUUAUUUAAUAAACAUUUUUAAAACUUAAAAAUCCUUUAACAAUAAUUAAAAUUAUUAUUUAUAAUUAUGAUAAGUAUUUUUAUUAAAUAAAUUUAAUUAACCAAAUAAUUUAAUAAGGUUAAAUUCUUAUAUAUGUAUAUAUAUUUAUAUAAAUGUGAUAAAACUUUAUAAAUAAAAAACAUUUAAAUUGUGAAAUCAGUAAUACAAUAUAUUGAUGAUCACUACAAUUGUAUUUUUUUUUUCCGAAUUCGUGUUUUUAUAGAUUUUUUAGAUUAUAGAUUUUUGUUCUUUUUUUUUCUUUAUCCUUUUUGUAAGCAUGUCAUUAUUUAGUAUUAACUGAAAAUAUGCUAUGUUUUAAGAUAUGUUUAUAUUAAAAUAUAAUGUAAUUUAAUAAUAAUUAAAACAAUUUUAUAAAUAAUUAUAUUUUUAUUUUUAAUUGAAUAUUAUUAAAUGGAAGUGAAGAUAAAAGGCAAAUUUAUUUUUUUAACUUAAAGUUUAGUUAAUAAAUAAACCUUAGGAGUGUUUGUGUAUUUUUCAUCUAAUCUCAAAUUUUUAUCAUACAGAAAGAAAAUGAAUAAAACUUAUCUCAAUCUGUUAGUACCACCUUUUAAAAAUGAUUAUAUCAACUAUCUAUAUUUUUUUUUUCAUUUGAAAAAUUAGAAUAUAACCAUUAAUCCUUGAAAAAUCAUCCAAAUUAAUACAGAAAAUAGGAGUUUUAAAAAAUUUAGAGGAAAAAAAGAGUAAAAUCUUAUUUCCAGAAUAUAUGAAACCUGAGAGGUCGUUUAAUUUCUGCAUUAUAAAAGGAACCGGUGCAUUGUUUAUACUGUUAGGGUUUAAAAAAACCAAAAAAUAUUACAAAUGAAAAUUAUGAUAAUCAGUUCACCUUCAUGUAUCGGUGCCUUAGCAGAGAAGGAAUAGCGGAAACAUGACUCAUCGAAACAACACACCCUAACAGUUUUCCAGCUCUGCACCGGAUGUUAUUUUUGAGCAUUGCUUUAAUACUAUAGUUUUUCAACAAUGAUUUUGCGCAAAGCUUCAGAUAGUGGUAUUGGUCUUGAUCGGUUCAGGUUGAAUGGCCUUUUGCACGAGCUCCGCUUGUUCCUUCACAUGCAUGGAAUAGAAGCCGGUAGCAGUGGAAGCAGAUGGAGCACGGCCAACAUAUCUGACAUCAUCAAAGGUUCCUCUACCCAAAGCAGUCAUUGCAGUGGCAAGACGAGGGGCGAUGUAGUUGUAUGCACCCAUGUUCAUCGGUUCUUCCUGGCACCAAACAAUCUC
rnacentral:lncRNA from 1 species